AAGUCUUUUCAUCUAUGCCAUUUUACUGGAAUCUUAAGAACAUUUACAUUUAAUGUAAUUAUUGAUGUGGUUGGAUUAGAAUCUUCCAGCUCAAUAUUUCUCCCAUCUACUCUUCCUUUCCUUGGUUUUCCUUUAGAUUUGUUUUAAAAAUAAGCAUUUCAUUUUGAGCUCUAUGUCUUGGUUUUCAGUGGCAGUCUAGUAUUGUUAAUAUGCAUCAUGAUUUAUCACCAUCUACCCUUAAAUAACGUCCCCACUUGCUCACAGGAACAUAAGAAACAUAUCACAAUGCAUUUCCAGUCCCCAGUCCUAUCUUCUGUGCUACACUUGUUAUGUAUUUUACUUCUACAUAUAUUAUAAAACCCCAAAUAGGGAGUAAUACAAAAUAAAUUUUACUGUGAGUAGUUGAUUAUUUUAAAAAUAAGAAUGCUGAGAAAAUAUUCGCCACCCUUGCCCAUAUAUUUUCUGGGUCUAGUUAUGUUCAGUGCUCUGGGAAUGCUCGACAGUCAGCUCGCCAGCCGUUCUGCUUCUGCCUUGCCUUCAAAACACACUCAUGACAGUAUUCUGCAGGAGGCUCAAGGGGACACCAGACUCCUGGAACUCCUUCUCAGCCCAGCUCCCUCUUCUUCCGCCACCUGCCCACAGAUGGCAGUCAGCUGGGACACUAGACAGAUGACUAUCACAGGCCCCACAAAUGAUCGGCUCUUGAGCACACUAUUUACCACCGCCUACUUCCUUAACGAGAGACGGAGGGAAGAGGGAUCUGCUAUUCAGAGCAGGUAAUCGCAAAUUUAAACCUCCUGAAGACUGUAGUAAGGUGAUUUGU